UCUGGUGACUAUAGCAAGGAGGUCACACCUGUUCUCAUGCCGAACACAGAAGUUAAGCUCCUUAGG
rnacentral:rRNA from 1 species